GACGAACGCUGGCGGCAUGCCUAACACAUGCAAGUCGAACGAAACCUUCGGGUCUAUUGUCGCACGGGUUCAUAACGCGUCGGAACCUGCCCUUAGGUUCGGAAUAACUCCCAGACAGGGGUGCUAAUACCAGAUAAUGUCUUCGGCCGAAAGAUUUAUCGCGUUUGGAUGGUCCCUCGUUGGAUUAGCUAGUUGUGAGGGUAAAAGCAUACCAAGGCGACGAUCCAUAGCUUGUAUGAGAGGAUGAUCAGCCACACCGGGACUGAGAAACGGCACAGAAUCCUCCGGGAGGCAGCAGUGGGGAAUAUUGCAACACCGGCGAAAGCAUGAUGGUGCAAUGACGCGUGAGUGAUGAAGGCAUUAGGGUUGUAAAGUUCUUUUAACCGGGAUGAUAAUGACAGUACCGGGAGAAUAAGCCACGGCUAACUACGUG
rnacentral:rRNA from 1 species